rnacentral:rRNA from 1 species
UUUGGUCUUUAGAGCAGCGUGGAACGAUCUCUUCCCAUUCCGAACAGAGUCAUCAAACGCGCUAGCGCCGACGAUAAUCCUCGGGCAACUGAGCGUGAAAAUAGGUCAAGGCCAAAA